UUGCGGUUAAAAAGCUCGUAGUUGGAUUUCUGUUGAGGACGGCCGGUCCGCACUAUGUGCGUGUAUCUGGUUCGGCCUCGGCAUCCUCUCGAAAGCCGUUUCUGCGCUUGAUUGCGUGGUUCGGACUUCGGGACUUUUACUUUGAGGAAAUUAGAGUGUUCACGGCAGGCAAGCGCCUUGAAUAUAUUAGCAUGGAAUAAUAAUAUAGGAUCUUGGUCCUAUUUUGUUGGUUUCUAGGGCUAAGAUAAUGAUUAAUAGGGACAAUUGGGGGCAUUCGUAUUAACGCGUCAGAGGUGGAAUUCUUGGAUUGCGUUACGACGAACUACUGCGAAAGCAUUUGCCAAGGAUGUUUUCAUUGAUCAAGAACGAAAGUAAGGGGAUCGAAGAUGAUUAGAUACCGUCGUAGUCUUUACCAUAAACUAUGCCAACUAGAGAUGGGGCUGCGGUUUAUUUAUGACCCGCUCCGCACCUUAUGAGAAAUCAAAGUUUUUGGGUUCCGGGGGGAGUAUGGUCGCAAGGCUGAAACUUAAAGGAAUUGACGGAAGGGCACCACCAGGAGUGGAGCCUGCGGCUUAAUUUGACUCAACACGGGAAAACUCACCAGGUCCAGACAUAGUAAGGAUUGACAGAUUGAUAGCUCUU
rnacentral:rRNA from 1 species